CCCUCACGCCGCAGGAGCCCCGCCCGCAGCGCCGGCCCUGCCCCUGGCCUGUGCGGGCGCCAGGGCCCCCUACAGCUUGCAGUCGCCAUGCGCGCCUCCCCGCGAGGCUUGUUUUCUAGCGCCUCUGAUGGGCCGCCUCCCGCAGGCCUGGUGUGAGCCUGGGGUCCGUUCUCACAGCUGUAUCUGGGGUCUGAAUGCCGCGCCCUCUGGAGAGCCACAGAUGGGUCUCCGCUGAUGCUUCUCUCAAUUUCCUCUAAGGGCGAGAGCUCCGAGAAAGGAGCCGAUCCUGGUGGAAGACUACAGGUCUGAGUCCACUGGACGAAAAACGAGGCUCUCCUCUUGGGGAAAUAAAACAAUCCUGCCAACCAAAGACCCCUCUGGAUCCUCAAACACGCCAUCAGCAUGGAAGGCUGCUAUGGCAUAGCGAGAGAUAAAUAGGAUUCAGGCAGUGCUGUCCUUACAUCGCAAUCAUUCAGAGUUUCCAUCUUGUUGCCCAGGCUGAAGUGCAAUGGCAUGGUCUUGGCUCACUGCAAUCUCUGCCUCUUCGGUUCAAGCGAUUCUCUUGCCUCAGCCUUCCGAGUAGCUGGGAUUACAGGCGCCCGUGACGAUGCCCAGGCUCCUUGGAUUAGAGACCAUCCUGAGGACAUCCUUGGGAGCCAUGUGCUGAAGAUGGCCAAGCCACAGGAUGAAAGGAGCUGCAUCUUUGAGUCACCACUGGAGAAAGAUCUCUGUAAAUGGAUUUGCAGAGAAGUCUUCUUGAGUACUCCCCUUCUAAGUUCCACUUGUAAUCCACUUCUUUUAUUCUCCCAGCAAUCAAUGUGGUUUGGGGAAAUUCCAGAAUCUCAUAAUAUCUUGGUCAUGGGUAAAUAAGGAAAGGGCCUUUACAUACAUGUGAUGCAAAGCAGAUCAAAACAAGCAGAGCAGCCUAAGAGCAGCAAGACCCCAAAGGGUAAGGGAAGUCCUGCAGAAGAGCAGAGCGGUGCUGCAAAGGCAGGCAGGUAAGGUAAGCGGAUAGGGCCAUCAGGAUGGAUCCUUGGGGCAUGCCAGCAUCCACCAGGGACUGGUAGAGCUAUUUAGAGAAACUGAUAAAAAGCUCUGCCAACUACAGUCACAAAAGAUGGAGCUCAGAACGAUGAGUAGAUGCCUAAAACAUCUCCAUUUUGUUGAUGAAGAAAGUAAAGUUUAUAGAGCUUAGAUUAUUUGCUUUUGUACCUAGCACAGUACUUAGUUUAUAGUAGAUGCACAAUAAGUAUUUGUUUAAUGAGUGAAUGAGUCACUAGCCUAAGACCUUUAAUAUAACAUGCUUAAACCUGCUACCAGGGAUUGGGAACUCACCUAAUUAGUAGUGAGUAGAGGGGUGUGGUACUGGUACUUAAGAUAGACGCAUUGUGGUUGGGUAUGGUGUGUUUUUGUUUUUGUUUUGAGACAGAUUCUCCCUCUGUUGCCCAGGCUGAGAUGCUGUGGCAUUAUCAUGGCUCACUGCAGCCUUAACCUCCCGGGGCUCAAGCGAUCCUCCCACCUCAGCCUCCGAGUAGCUGGGACCACAGGUGCGCAUCACCGUGCCUGGCUAAUUUUGUUUUUUGUUUGUUUGUUUGUUUUGUAGGGACGGGAUUUUGCCAUGUUGCCCAGGUUGGUCUCGAACUCCUGGGCUCAAGCUAUCCACCCGCCUCGGCCUCCCAAAGUUGUAGGAUUAAGGUGUGAGCCACUGUGUCCAGCAGAUAUGAUGUUUUUAAAAGUUUGAGAGUUAAUAUGCUCUCUGGUGUGCCCUAGGUCCCACCACUCCUAUUGCCUUAAAACUCACGCAGUACACAUUUGUCUUCCAUGGGCUUCAGUUGUAAGAGAACCCUUUCUACUCUUUGCUGUUCACAAGUCUCCUUUUAAACAGAGCUUGUUCCCAAUGCUGUUUUGUUUUGCCCUCUGCCAUGUCCUUCCGGCCAUCACCUACUGUGGGGAAAAGAGAGAGAGAUCAGAUUGUUACUGUGUCUGUGUAGAAAGAAGUAGACAUAGGAGACUCCAUUUUGUUCUGUACUAAGAAAAAUUCUUCUGCCUUGAGAUGCUGUUAAUCUGUAACCCUACCCCCAACCCUGUGCUCCCUUGAGACAUAUGCUCUGUCAACUCAGGGUUAAAUGGAUUAAGGGCUGUGCAAGAUGUGCUUUGUUAAACAAAUGCUUGAAGGCAGCAUGCUCCUUAAGAGUCAUCUCUACUCCCUAAUCUCAAGUACUCAGGGACACAAAACACUGCGGAAGGCCGCAGGGACCUCUGCCUAGGAAAGCCAGGUAUUGUCCAAGGUUUCUCCCCAUGUGAUAGUCUGAAAUAUGGCCUCGUGGGAAGGGAAAGACCUGACCGUCCCCCAGCCCGACACCCGUAAAGGGUCUGUGCUGAGGAGGAUUAGUAAAAGAGGAAGGAACGCCUGUUUGCAGUUGAGACAAGAGGAAGGCAUCUGUCUCCUGCUUGUCCCUGGGCAAUGGAAUGUCUCAGUGUAAAACCAGAUUGUAUAUUCCAUCUACUGAGAUAGGGGAAAACUGCCUUAGGGCUGGAGGUGGGACAUGCGGGCACAAUACUGCUCUUCAAGUCAUUGAGAUGUUUAUGUGUAUACAUAUCUAAAGCACAGCACUUAAUUCUUUACCUUGUUUAUGAUGUAGAGACCUUUGUUCACGUGUUUACCUGCUGACCUUCUCUCCACUAUUAUCCUUUGACCCUGCCACAUCCCCCUCUCCGAGAAACACCCAAUAAUGAUCAAUAAAUACUAAGGGAACUGAGAGGCCGGUGGGAUCCUCCGUAUGCUGAACACCGGUCCCCUGGACCCCUUUUUUUCUUUCUCUAUA